UACGGAGUGGGCUAGCGUUGUUCGGAAUUACUGGGCGUAAAGCGCGCGUAGGCGGACCUGCAAGUCGGGGGUGAAAGCCCGAGGCUCAACCUCGGAACUGCCUUCGAUACUGCGGGUCUCGAGUCCGGGAGAGGUGAGUGGAAUUCCUAGUGUAGAGGUGAAAUUCGUAGAUAUUAGGAAGAACACCAGUGGCGAAGGCGGCUCACUGGCCCGGUACUGACGCUGAGGCGCGAAAGCGUGGGGAGCAAACAGG
rnacentral:rRNA from 1 species